rnacentral:rRNA from 1 species
UACGUAGGGUGCGAGCGUGUCCGGAAUUAUUGGGCGUAAAGAGCUUGUAGGCGGUUUGUCGCGUCUGCUGUGAAAAUCCGGGGCUCAACCCCGGACUUGCAGUGGGUACGGGCAGACUAGAGUGUGGUAGGGGGAGACUGGAAUUCCUGGUGUAGCGGUGAAAUGCGCAGAUAUCAGGAGGAACACCGAUGGCAAAGGCAGGUCUCUGGGCCACUACUGACGCUGAGAAGCGAAAGCGUGGGGAGCGAACAGG